UACGUAGGGCGCAAGCGUUGUCCGGAAUUAUUGGGCGUAAAGAGCUCGUAGGCGGUUUGUCGCGUCUGUCGUGAAAGCCCACGGCUUAACCGUGGGUCUGCGGUGGAUACGGGCAGACUAGAGGCAGGUAGGGGAGAAUGGAAUUCCCGGUGUAGCGGUGAAAUGCGCAGAUAUCGGGAGGAACACCGGUGGCGAAGGCGGCAUCCUGGACCAAUAUUGACGCUGAGGAGCGAAAGCCAGGGGAGCAAACGGG
rnacentral:rRNA from 1 species